GCCGGCUUUAAGGCAACCAUGGCAACCGAAUGCACGAAGGCUUGUCCCGGCAAACAGAUGCAUUCAUAAAUAACUCUGAAGUGCUGAUAUCAACAGUCGGGGGACCCUGCUGCAAUGCUAAUGCGGCAGGGGCCAGGGCCACUGUGGCAUGUCCCCCAAGGCUGACAGACCCCAACUGCUACCUGGAGCUGGCCUGAGGAGGCUGUCUGAGCCCAUGCACAGGUGCCACUCACCACUGACUGCCAGUGCCCUGUGGACUGCCUUGCCUGCACUUGACUGAGGGCCACCGUGUGUCCCCCAGGGCCUACUGUUUUGCUGCCCUGUCCCUUCACUCAGCAUUUGAACAACUCACUGGGGCUGUGGUUCCACCCUGAAUAUGACCAGCCCACCGGAGGGGCCACCCGCAGGACCUGGCGAAGCCAGACUUCCCAGGUGUGUGUCGUCUGCCUGGAGUUUGGGCACCGCCAUGGGUGAAGCUGGGCGCCGACACGGGUGGUCGACACGACAUGGGUGGGGGGGGGAUACACCGGAAAUCUGUUCCUUCCUCUCGAUUUCGCUGUGAACUAAAACUGCUCUAAAAUAU